rnacentral:tRNA from 2 species
GCCUUUAAAGAAUAACAGCUCAUUCGUUGGUCUUAGGAACCAAAGACUCUCAGUGCAAAUCUGAGUGAAGACU